rnacentral:tRNA from 2 species
GGGCCGGUGGCGGAAUUGGUAGACGCAGCAGACUCAAAAUCUGCCGCCGCAAGGUGUGAGAGUUCGAGUCUCUCCCGGCCCA